rnacentral:rRNA from 1 species
UAUGUGAUCGUCUCUCGCAUAUCAAUAAGCGGAGGAAAAGAAACUAACAAGGAUUCCCCUAGUAACGGCGAGUGAAGCGGGAAGAGCUCAAAUUUGAAAUCUUAAAGGGUUUCCCUUUACGAAUUGUAGUUUAAAGAAGUGUUUUCUGUUGAGGUUUUGGUAAAAGUUCUUUGGAAUAGGACAUCAUAGAGGGUGAGAAUCCCGUAUUUGACCUUUACUUUCAACUUUGUGAUACACUUUCAAAGAGUCGGAUUGUUUGGGAAUGCAGUCCGAAAUGGGUGGUAAAUUUCAUCUAAAGCUAAAUAUUGGCGAGAGACCGAUAGCGAACAAGUACCGUGAGGGAAAGAUGAAAAGAACUUUGAAAAGAGAGUUAAACAGUACGUGAAAUUGUCAAAAGGGAAGCGUUUGACACCAGUGUUGUUUUUCUGAAAAUCAAUUAAAGAACUGUUUAUGCUAAGUUGUUUAGACUUUAUCAGCUAACUGUUUAGUUUUGAGCUUUUCUUUAAUGCACUUUUCAGUUAACAAGUCAACAUCAAUUUCUUUUGCUGUAAAAAAGCUUGAGGAAGGUGGCUUGAGAUUCGUCUUAAGUGUUUAUAGCCUCUUGCCUAUGCAGUCGGAGAGAUUGAGGUCUGCAGCGUAGAUCCUUCGGGGCUAAAUGCAUUUGUGCUAAGUUAUAGCAUUUUAUAGACAACUUGUUGACUAUGAUUUGUCUUGUAGCUUACUCGCUUAUGUUAUUUUACCUACGCUUAGGAUGUUGACUGAUAUGUAGUCGU